rnacentral:rRNA from 1 species
UGGGGAAUAUUGCACAAUGGGCGCAAGCCUGAUGCAGCGACGCCGCGUGCGGGAUGGAGGCCUUCGGGUUGUAAACCGCUUUUGUUCAAGGGCAAGGCACGGUCUUUGGCCGUGUUGAGUGGAUUGUUGGAAUAAGCACCGGCUAACUACGUGCCAUCAGCCGCGGUAAUACGUAGGGUGCAAGCGUUAUCCGGAUUUAUUGGGCGUAAAGGGCUCGUAGGCGGUUCGUCGCGUCCGGUGUGAAAGUCCAUCGCUUAACGGUGGAUCCGCGCCGGGUACGGGCGGGCUUGAGUGCGGUAGGGGAGACUGGAAUUCCCGGUGUAACGGUGGAAUGUGUAGAUAUCGGGAAGAACACCAAUGGCGAAGGCAGGUCUCUGGGCCGUUACUGACGCUGAGGAGCGAAAGCGUGGGGAGCGAACAGG